rnacentral:tRNA from 1 species
GCCAGUGUAGCUUAAAUAAAGCAUGACACUGAAGAUGUCAAGAUGAGCCCUAUA